GAAGACGCUGGAAAGGCAGACAGGCACAGGGGUCCAGGCGGCAGGAGCGAUGCAAUAGAUAGAAUCCACGCUGGAGGGAGAGGUAGUGAUCCGGCUGGCCGGAGGGGUUCUCCCAAGCCGCGGAGGGCGAGAGGGGAAGCCGGGGAAUCCGUCAGGUUCCGGGAAAGCAGGCUGGGACGAGACUGAAACACGAAAAAAGGAGACCGACUGGAGUAAGUAAAACCGAGUUUAUUUGACAACCAUCCAACAGAGAGUGGAGCAACCCGACAGGACUUCAACAGCGUCCUCUCCCUCUCUCCUACCCUAGAUCCCUCUCCAGAGACACGGAGUGGGCUUGAGGUUGUUGCGACACAAAGGAAGAUGGAAGACAUUGGGGUGAAAGGAGAGUUAGCUUGGUAGACCCAGUAAGGAAAUAAAGCAAGAGCCACAAAUAGCAAAAGAGAGAAGGAUUGGAUUUGUUAUUUUCCCUUCCCUUCCCUGCCCAGUAACCCGUGGGACUGGAACUCACCCCAGCAUCGCAACCCUAGAGACUCUAAAGUCAUUGACUGCAAGGGGCUAGGAAAUAAAGUGAAUGACUGUCCAUCUUUUGAUCCAUA
ensembl:lncRNA